GAUGAACGCUGGCGGCGUGCCUAACACAUGCAAGUGGAGCGACGAACCCGGACUUGUCCGGGGGCAAAGCCGCGAACGGGUGAGUAACACGUGGAUUAUCUGCCCCAAUGACCGGGACAACUCGAGGAAACUCGAGCUAAUACCGGAUGUGCUCUUCGGAGGAAAGGAAGCUUCGGCCUCCGCAUUGGGAUGAGUCCGCGGUGCAUCAGCUAGUUGGUGGGGUAAAGGCCCACCAAGGCGACGAUGCAUAGCUGGUCUGAGAGGACGAUCAGCCACACUGGAACUGAGACACGGUCAAGACUCCUACGGGAGGCAGCAUUGGGGAAUUGUGCGCAAUGCACGAAAGUGUGACACAGCAACGCCGCGUGCGGGAAGAAGGUCUUCGGAUCGUAAACCGCUUUCAGUUGGGACGAGGGUUACACGGUGAAUAGCCGGCGUAACUGACGGUACCUUCAGAAGAAGCCCCGGCUAACUACGUGCCAGCCGCCGCGGUAA
rnacentral:rRNA from 1 species